rnacentral:rRNA from 1 species
UACAGAGGUCCCGAGCGUUGUUCGGAUUCAUUGGGCGUAAAGGGUGCGUAGGCGGCCGCCUAAGUUUGAUGUGAAAUCCCGGGGCUUAACCCUGGAAUUGCAUUGAAUACUGGGUGGCUAGAGUACCGGAGAGGAAACUGGAAUUUACGGUGUAGCAGUGAAAUGCGUAGAGAUCGUAAGGAAGACCAGUGGCGAAGGCGAGUUUCUGGACGGUAACUGACGCUGAGGCACGAAGGCCAGGGGAGCAAACGGG